rnacentral:rRNA from 1 species
UACGUAGGGUGCGAGCGUUGUCCGGAAUUACUGGGCGUAAAGAGCUCGUAGGCGGUUUGUCGCGUCGGGAGUGAAAACCUUGGGCUUAACUCAGGGCUUGCUUUCGAUACGGGCAGACUAGAGGUAUGCAGGGGAGAACGGAAUUCCUGGUGUAGCGGUGAAAUGCGCAGAUAUCAGGAGGAACACCGGUGGCGAAGGCGGUUCUCUGGGCAUGAUCUGACGCUGAGGAGCGAAAGUGUGGGGAGCGAACAGG